rnacentral:rRNA from 1 species
AUUGAACGCUGGCGGCAUGCUUUUACACAUGCAAGUCGGACGGCAGCACAGAGAAGCUUGCUUCUUGGGUGGCGAGUGGCGAACGGGUGAGUAACAUAUCGGAACGUACCGAGUAAUGGGGGAUAACUAAUCGAAAGAUUAGCUAAUACCGCAUAUUCUCUGAGGAGGAAAGCAGGGGACCUUCGGGCCUUGCGUUAUUCGAGCGGCCGAUAUCUGAUUAGCUAGUUGGUGGGGUAAAGGCCUACCAAGGCGACGAUCAGUAGCGGGUCUGAGAGGAUGAUCCGCCACACUGGGACUGAGACACGGCCCAGACUCCUACGGGAGGCAGCAGUGGGGAAUUUUGGACAAUGGGCGCAAGCCUGAUCCAGCCAUGCCGCGUGUCUGAAGAAGGCCUUCGGGUUGUAAAGGACUUUUGUCAGGGAAGAAAAGGCUGUUGCUAAUAUCGACAGCUGAUGACGGUACCUGAAGAAUAAGCACCGGCUAACUACGUG